AUAGGAGAAAGUUAAAAGUGAAUCACGUAGUUGGUUUAAAGUCAUUUGUACGACUUCGUCACGACAUGCGAGAUUCCAUCACUGGCCAGGAGCCCGGACCAGUAGACCUCUGCAGAGGGACUCACUGUCGGCAGGUGAUGGGAUCUUGGGUACAUCUUAAAGCCAGCGAGAAUUGGGCGGCGAUGGACGCCUUACGCAGUCAGCCCACUCCCGAUGGUACUCAGCAGAGUGAGCCAGAG